GGCUCCAUAGUGUAGUGGUUAGCACGUCUGCUUUACACGCAGAAGGUCCUGGGUUCGCGCCCCAGGUGGAGCCA
rnacentral:tRNA from 1 species